CCACAAUACAAUGGAUAUUGUUACAGAUAUCUAUCAGCUAAAAUGGUAACAAUGGCUGGUAACUAGGUAACUGUGGUAACCAAGUUAUAUAUAGGUAACAGUGGCUGGUAACUAGGUAACUGAGGUAACUGUGGUAACCAAGUUAUACAUAGGUAACAGUGGCUGGUAACUAGGUAACUGUGGUAACCAAGCUAAAAUGGUAACAGUGGCUGGUAACUAGGUAACUGUGGUAACCAAGUUAUAUAUAGGUAACAGUGGCUGGUAACUAGGUAACUGAGGUAACUGUGGUAACCAAGUUAUAUAUAGGUAACAGUGGCUGGUAACUAGGUAACUGAGGUAACUGUGGUAACCAAGUUAUACAUAGGUAACAGUGGCUGGUAACUAGGUAACUGUGGUAACCAAGUUAUAUAUAGGUAACAGUGGCUGGUAACUAGGUAACUGUGGUAGCUGUGGUAACCAAGGUAACCGUCACAAUACAAUGGAUAUUGUUACAGAUGUCUAUCAGCUAAAAUGGUAACAGUGGCUGGUAACUAGGUAACUGUGGUAACCAAGUUAUACAUAGGUAACAGUGGCUGGUAACUAGGUAACUGUGGUAACCAAGCUAAAAUGGUAACAGUGGCUGGUAACUAGGUAACUGUGGUAACCAAGUUAUACAUAGGUAACAGUGGCUGGUAACUAGGUAACUGUGGUAACCAAGGUAACCGUCACAAUACAAUGGAUAUUGUUACAGAUGUCUAUCAGCUAAAAUGGUAACAGUGGCUGGUAACUAGGUAACUGUGGUAACCAAGUUAUACAUAGGUAACAGUGGCUGGUAACUAGGUAACUGUGGUAACCAAGGUAACCGUCACAAUACAAUGGAUAUUGUUACAGAUGUCUAUCAGCUAAAAUGGUAACAGUGGCUGGUAACUAGGUAACUGUGGUAACCAAGUUAUACAUAGGUAACAGUGGCUGGUAACUAGGUAACUGUGGUAACCAAGUUAUAUAUAGGUAACAGUGGCUGGUAACUAGGUAACUGAGGUAACUGUGGUAACCAAGUUAUACAUAGGUAACAGUGGCUGGUAACUAGGUAACUGUGGUAACCAAGUUAUACAUAGGUAACAGUGGCUGGUAACUAGGUAACUGUGGUAACCAAGCUAAAAUGGUAACAGUGGCUGGUAACUAGGUAACUGUGGUAACCAAGUUAUAUAUAGGUAACAGUGGCUGGUAACUAGGUAACUGAGGUAACUGUGGUAACCAAGGUAACCGCCACAAUA
rnacentral:lncRNA from 1 species